UACGAAGGACCCGAGCGUUAUCCGGAUUUAUUGGGUUUAAAGGGUGCGUAGGCGGACUUAUAAGUCAGUGGUGAAAUCUCCAGGCUUAACCUGGAAACUGCCAUUGAAACUGUUUGUCUUGAGUACAUUUGAGGCGGGCGGAAUGUGUCAUGUAGAGGUGAAAUUCUUAGAUAAUGACACAGAACACCAAUUGCGAAGGCAGCUCGCUAAACUGUAACUGACGCUGAUGCACGAAAGCGUGGGUAGCAAACAGG
rnacentral:rRNA from 1 species